rnacentral:rRNA from 1 species
AGAGUUUGAUCCUGGCUCAGAAUUAACGCUGGCAGAGUGCAUAACACAUGCAAGUCGAGCGAGACUAUCUGAGAUUACAUCAAAUGGUAGUUUAGCGGCAGACGAGUGAGUAACACGUAAAUAAUCUGCCCUCGAAUGGAGGACAACCAGCCGAAAGGUUGGCUAAUACUCCGUACUCUUCCCUGGAGGCAUCUUCGGGGAAGGAUAGGCCCGCAAGGGUUGUUCGAGGAGGAGUUUGCGGCCCAUCAGCUAGUUGGCGGUGUAACGGACCACCAAGGCUAUGACGGGUACCCGGGCUGAAAGGCCGGACGGGCACGAUGGCACUGAGAUACGGGCCAUACUCCUACGGGAGGCAGCAGUGGGGAAUUUUGGACAAUGGGGGAAACCCUGAUCCAGCAACUCUGCGUGAGGGACGAAGCCUCUCGGGGCGUAAACCUCUUUUAUCUGGGACGAAAUCCCGCAAGGGUCCGACGGUACCAGGUGAAUAAGCCACGGCUAACUAUGUGCCAGCAGCCGCGGUAAGACAUAGGUGGCGAGCGUUAUUCGGAAUUACUAGGCGUAAAGCGAGUGUAGGCGGGCGCUUAAGUCUGUUGUGAAAUCUCCCGGCUUAACUGGGAGGGGUCAACGGAUACUGGGCGUCUUGAGUGUGGUAGGGGGCAGUGGAAUUCCCGGUGUAGCGGUGAAAUGCGUAGAUAUCGGGAGGAACACCUAUGGCGAAAGCAGCUGCCUGGGCCAUUACUGACGCUAAGACUCGAAAGCUAGGGGAGCAAACAGGAUUAGAUACCCUGGUAGUCC